rnacentral:sRNA from 1 species
GGCAGGGAUGGGUGUGCUAUAUGUGUAUGGGACGGAGAGCCAGGAGGAUUCAUAGGCACACUUCAGGCUAGGAACGACUCUGCAACCCUGUGUCUUGAUGCCAGUGCUCCUGCGACUCUCCCAUUAAUUCCCUGGGACCAAUUUAGAUUUCCUAAUUCUCAAUAUAUAAUCAAAUUACUUCCCCGAAAUUACCGGGUUUCAUUUCUGGGAACUGGUUCUCUGGAACUGCAUGAUUCAAACACGCUUCCCAACUCUGGAGUUCUGUGCCACAGCUCCUGGACAUCUAAACUUGGAUAUCCUGAUCGCACACGAGCUGCACCCUAGGCCGAGGAAAGCAGAAGGACAUGGAAUCAAGGACUCCACGUCUCAGGAACCACCUCCUGAGAAGACUAGGCUGAAUACACACUAAGGCGAGUCGCAGCUAGAAAGUGCGCCUGUGCAGUACAGCAUCUAGAGUGAGGGACUGCUCUUGUGCAUCACUGCUUUCUCCGCCUUCUCCAGCUGCUGCAAGGGCUCAAGGGUGCAGAAAUCCACAGACUCUGGGGCUGGGUAAAUGAUUAUCCCUGCCACAUUCAUCAUUCAUGCAGCUCCCAGGAAGAAUGACUGCUCUAUAUUGGACAUAAAUGUACUGACGGAGUAAUUGAAUAAGAAAACCAUUCAGAAGUUGAAGGAAAACAGUUCUUCACAGUUUGAGUGCACACACGUCUGCGUGUAUUUCACUAGAAAGGACACUCUCCAUAAGGAAAGAUUACUUUUGCGUAAGAGAGUUUGACACGAGGGUUUCUACGUGACGCUGUUUGACAAGGAUAUGACAGCUAUUUCAUGACAAUGUUUG